GUAAUGGUUCAUUUAUAAAAAACACACGAUAUCAAAAUCGACAUUUAGCCCAAUAGGGCUAAAAGUCUUGAGAUUAAAAAUCCCAAAACCUUCUCUUUGGCGUAAUUUCCUAAUUAAAUCACCUCCUCUAUCAUCCAAUGUAACCUUUUCUAAACCCGUGCACGAAAAAGUAUCAAACUUGAAAUCAGGACAAUUAUUACAAUGUACUGGUACAGAGUGAGUAAUUAAGUGUUUCUUUAUAUUAUUACAAUGUUCCAUAAAUCUAAUUUUUAGAGCUCUACUGGUUCUCCCUACAUACUGGAUGCCACAUCCACAAGUUAAAAGAUACACUACAUUAGUGGUGUUGCAGUUAAUAUAAUCAUUUAUUUUAAAAAAGUUCUCCUGUUUUAUAACUUUUAAAAUGUUGUGUUUUUUAGGUAAAAAUUUACAACCCUUGCAUCUACCAGAUUUGUAGAAUCCCUUUAGGGAUGUGGCUUCUGUUUUCUUUGAUUUAAACGUGCUAGGAGCUUUAGGAGCAUAUAUAUGCUAUAAUUUGUAGGUUAUUUUACUAGUAUUCCAGUUAAGAAUAUUAAGAUGUGCCUGUUGAUGUUCUUCCCAUUUAAAUGAUUACUCUAACUCAGGGGCUCCCAAUUAAUUUUUCCCGUGGAACCCUUUUACAUAAUGCGCUAACAGCGUGGAACGUCAAAAAUGUUUGGGCAUACACAAACAAAUUAACACACAUAUAAAAACAUUGACACAUUAUUAUUAUUUUAUUAUUUAUAUAGCGCCAGCAAAUUCUGUAGCGCACACGUACACACACUAAAAUAUAUACACAGACACAAAGAUAUACACCUUGACACACAUUAGGGCACACACACACCAAUACACACAUACUGACAUACACUCAGAUACACAUAGUGACACAUACACAAACCUUGGCACACAGAUACACACACUCAGAAGCGCAUAUUGGCACAUACAAACACACCAACACACACACUGGCACAUAUAAACACACUGAUACAGACAUACUGACAUAUACACACACUGACACAUACACACACACCUUGACACAUAUACACACACUCAGAUACACACAUUGACACAUGCACAAAACAUUACACAGAUACGCACAUACACACAAUGACCCAUACAAACAUAUACAGGGAGUGCAGAAUUAUUAGGCAAGUUGUAUUUUUGAGGAUUAAUUUUAUCAUUGAACAACAACCAUGUUCUCAAUGAACCCAAAAAACUCAUUAAUAUCAAAGCUGAAUAUUUUUGGAAGUAGUUUUUAGUUUGUUUUUAGUUAUAGCUAUGUUAGGGGGAUAUCUGUG